CCUACGGGUGGCAGCAGUGGGGAAUAUUGCACAAUGUGGGAAACCCUGAUGCAGCGACGCCGCGUGAGUGAAGACGUAAUUCGUUAUGUAAAGCUCUAUCAGCAGGGAAGAAAAUGACGGUACCUGAGUAACAAGCCCCGGCUAACUACGUGCCAGCAGCCGCGGUAAUACGUAGGUGGCAAGCGUUAUCCGGAUUUAAGGGGUGUAAAGGGUGCGUAGACGGCAGUGCAAGUCCGGAGUGAAAGGCGGGGGCUAAACCCCCGGACUGCUCUGGAAACUGUACGGCUGGAGUGCAGGAGAGGUACGUGGAAUUCGUGGUGUAGCGGUGAAAUGCGUAGAUAUUAGGAGGAACACCAGUCGCGAAGGCGGCUUACUGGACUGUAACUGACGUUGAGGCUCGAAAGCGUGGGGAGCAAACAGGAUUAGAUACCCUAGUAGUC
rnacentral:rRNA from 1 species